CACACGCUUUUGUUCGCGAGUGACCCUUCACUUGGCUCACUCUCUCUACCUCCCCCUCCUCGACUCAGCCCCACAGUGGUGCGUUCUUUUUCCAUUGAAUUUGAAGCCUGUAGGAGUGGGUGCGUGCCCCCCUCUCCCUCUGCCUGUGUACCUGCACAUACGCAGGCACUUCUCUUGUUCUCCAACUUGUGCACAACUAGACUAGAUGCCCUAGAUAUACACGCACUUUAUCGAGGACGCGCUCAUAUAUAUAUAUAUAUAUAUGCACGGAUACAGAUACACGCACGCGCCAGCCCGCUUUUCACACACACACACACACACAAGCUGCCUCUUGCUGCGCCCCUGCUUGUUGUGGAUUUUUUUGUGUCUCUUGUCUGUGUAGACCUCUGGGCGGCUUUGUGCGGCUUCUUCCUCUCCCGCCUUCGGCACCCUGUCGCCGACGGCGCUCCUUGUUGCUGUGGUUGCCGAUCUUUCACCUUCUCGCUCUUUCCCUCACUUUAGUGGCGCAUGGGUCGGCUGCUGAGAGAGCACAGUGGCCGCGUGCACGCCUCGAGCGCAGCCCGUCCCGCUGCGGCGCCGGUCUCCACGGCACCGCACGUACUUAAUGCCGUCGUAUCUUCGUCCCUGCCGAAUCAAGAACGCUACGUGGAUGCUUCGGCGGGGAUGAUGCUCUGUGCGCCGUGUCCCCGUUCCUCGCAGCUGCUCCCUUCUUUUGCACUGGACUCACAAUGCCCUGUGGAAAGAGACUCCCCUGUCACAGAUGGGCGAUCCUCGCCCGCUGCUGUCCUUUACUGCAGCCAGCGGCCUACGCGUGUUCGCGAUUGUGAACAGGCAGCAGUGCGGGAGCGGCACACAGCGGCGGCGGCAUCACCUGAGGGGCCGUUGCGUAAUCCUUCCGGGUCUCAUAUGCACAGCUCUUCGUCGGUUGGUAUUAGUACGAAAGCCUCAAUGCCGCUCUCCAAAACCUCACGGCAGCACCGACAAGUGCCGUCAUCCUCCACGCACGCGGUUACACCGGAGGCAUGCCUAGCUGAACAGCUUCACCAUCAUCGCCUGGACAGAGCCGGGCAGCGAUAUCCGACGCCGCCGUGGUGGCUGCCUGGAGGAAUAGAGGCAGACAGUGAUCUUCUCGUGAGAGGUUCGACUCACCAUUUUUCCCGUUCCAUGCUUCAGCGGAGGGCCGGCGCUGACGACGUAACGCCUCACACAGGACAGGCAGAGCGAGGCCUCGGCGAGGAGCACCGGCUGCCAUGGCCAUCGACACCGGCUCCGCCGACGCUGCGAUCACGCGCGCGUAGCGCGAUCAAGGGCUGUCUACCACGGCCUCGUUCGCCCUCCGCCCGAUUGCAGGCGCACCUCAACACCUCGUUGAACAAGCUGCAGGAGGCAGAUGGGGGUGCGUCACCGCUGGGGUUUGUGAACCCUGGCGCGUAUCGCCUUGGUGAUGCUGAGACAAGGAGCUCGAGGGCUGGUCUCGGGCUUCGCGGUGCAUGUGCUCCUGUUCACCGGCUUGGACGGCAGUCCGGAUGUAUGUCUUCUCGAUAUGCUCUUUUCAAUGGUGUCUUCUCUACGUCUCCAUCCGUGGAUUCGGUGCGACCGCGGGGCACCUUGUGCACCACCUCGUCGUCAAUGGAGACAGCGUCCGACAGCGACACGGAGGCGAUGCCACGACGCGUGGUGUUCAACAACGUGCUGGCCACCACCGCUGCGUCCACAUGCCGCCUUCGCGUGUACCAGGAGAGCUUCAACCACCCUUCCGGCUUCGCUGUUCCACAACGCGGCGCGGGGAAGGCGGUGCCGGUGCAGGCAAACUGAAAUGGUCUUGCGGCGCUGCCGCAGACGGCGGCGGACUGACACGCCAUUGAGUGCGCUGUCAAUGCCGUCCCGUGCUCUCUGAUAUACGGUGCCAGCAACCACGCGUCUGCACCUACGCUGGCUGCGUAUAGACAAGCUGUAGCUGCCGAGACGGGUAUUGACCCGGCGCAGCUGCGGCACGGCCCGCUGAGCGCACGCUACGAUCGUGUGCGAGGCGCCUUGAGGGAGUCGAUCGUGGAGCGGGCGGACGGCGGCGGUGGCGACGCUAGUCUGAUGCACACGACAGCGCGGCUGCGUGUCAGAGCCUCGCGUCCAAGUGAGCUGUACGACCCCAUAUCGGGACUGCCACGAAAGCCAAAUGAGGUGCCGGCUGUAUAUCUGCAGUCCAUGGCGGCGGAAGCUGCGGCAAGGGUGGUGUCUUACCGCCACGGCGAUGGUGGCCCUCACGCCUCGAUGGAUGCACGAGCCAACUCCAGCUCCGUAGCGACGAAGCGACAGAUCAGAAGUGGGGCGUUCGCUUGGGCCGACAAGCUCAGCGGACUUGCCCAGCUGCGCAGACCGCGCCGUUGCGCGCGCCCUGCGCAGCUGCAUUCCACUCGUCGCGUCACCGGGCUGCCUCUCCGCCCAGAUGAGCGACGCUUGUAUUGGGCAGAGCAUGCACCGCUGCACACGACGUCGGUGCGAGGGCUGAACGCGGUGCUGCAGGGCGUGGGAGAGGCGGAGGAGGGUCUGCUUGUCGAGGGCCUUGGCCCGAGAGGCGCAUGGGCCAAAAGGGAAAGCGCCGGCAGAGGCGCGUCGUGAGUGGGCACUGACGUGGCCGUGUACGCAGAGGAAGAGACAGAGGUGACGCUCGACCAUCGGUGCUCCUUGACCGACGCGAGCUGCGGCGAUAAUGAUGGCGACGACGACGAAGAAGCGUGGGCAGCGAUGGCAGUUGAACGACCACGCCGACGGGGCAGCGGAGGGAGGGGGGUUUCAGGCUGAGUCUGCGCCGCUGCACCACGCCCGACUGCCGUCUCGUGCCUCAGAGCAAAGUACGUUCUCCUGUGCAAAUUCGGCCGUGGCUGCCGCUUGUGCGCACGGCUCCAGUGAAGGCGCCGCUGACGCGUCGCGCGUUCAUAUGGAAGGCAGGAACGGCUUGGUGGACUCGCACGUGCACGAGGACGUCACCACCGAUGUUGAGAAUGGUGCGCGAACACGCAGCUCAGACCACGAUGGUCUCUUGCAUCAUCGGACGGCAAGCGACCAUCGCACGGGGACGCCGUCGAUGGGGCAUUCAAGGAGAACUUCACCACCUCGGCGCUCGCAUUCUCACGAGCACCCUGAGCGCGAUCGCCAUGACGAUGGGGACUUACUCCUAUACCCGCCACUGCUCACGCCUCUUCUGCAGGAGGUGGGCAUGCGCCUGCGCGUUCACCGACUCCCCACCAUAGCAGAGCUGUGGCGCUGGGGUGGUGGCGAUCAGGAGGCGAUUCUUCAGAUCGCCGGUUUUAGGCGAGAGGAGCGGCAGACGAUCCUAUGGGAGCUGGAGCGCAUGAUACGGGUCAGCUCAACAAGGUGCGCACUGUCGGCUGCUGCCUAAGAAGGAGAGGACUGUGGCAGGGGGCCGACGGCAGGGGCCAGGCCGCACAUUUUUUACUUCGCCUUCUUUUGCUACUGUUUCGUGGUUUUAGCUUCUCCACCGCCUCGCUCCACUCUCCCCUCCCCCGCUGCGGCUCUCACGACGCACGCGUCCCGUUGCGUACCUUCGGCUGGGAAGUGCGCCUUCCUUCCCCCUCCCCCUCCCCCCAAAACGCGAAUGUAUCGAGCAAAGCAAAAAGGUACGCCGGAAGCGCGAAC
rnacentral:misc_RNA from 1 species